rnacentral:rRNA from 1 species
CCUACGGGUGGCAGCAGUGAGGAAUAUUGGUCAAUGGGCGCGAGCCUGAAGCAGCCAAGUCGCGUGAGGGAAGACGGUCCUAUGGAUUGUAAACCUCUUUUGUCGGGGAGCAAAAGACGCCACGCGUUGCGUUCCGAGAGUACCCGAAGAAAAAGCAUCGGCUAACUCCGUGCCAGCAGCCGCGGUAAUACGGAGGAUGCGAGCGUUAUCCGGAGUUAUUGGGUUUAAAGGGUGCGCAGGCGGAAGAUCAAGUCAGGGGUGAAAUCCCCGCGCUCAACGUGGGAACUGCCUUUGCAACUGGCAAACUGGAGUGUGUGAGAGGAUAGUGGAAUUACAGGUGUAGGAGUGAAAUCCGUGGAUAUCUGGAGGAAAAUCAGUGGCGAAGGAGACUAUCUGGCACAUAACUGACGCUGAGGAGCGAAAGCGUGGGUAGCAAACAGGAUUAGAUACCCGAGUAGUC